GAUGAAGAACGCAGCAAAAUGCGAUAAGUAAUGUGAAUUGCAGAAUUCAGUGAAUCAUCCAAUCUUUGAACGCACAUUGCGCCCGCCAGUACUCUGGCGGGCAUGCCUGUCCGAGCGUCAUUUCAACCCUCAGGGCCCUCCAGCAGGGCGCUGGUGUUGGGGAUCGGCAGUCCCAGCGGCUGCCGUCCCUGAAAUGUAGUGGCGGUCCCACCGUGACCUCCCCUGUGCAGUACAUCGCUCGCAGAGGGACAGCGGUGCGGCCACGCCGUAAAACGCCCAACUCUUCAAGGUUGACCUCGGAUCAGGUAGGACUACCCGCUGAACUUAAGCAUAUCAAUAAGCGGAGGA
rnacentral:misc_RNA from 1 species